UCUUCUACCGCUGCUUGCUUCCAGGACUUGCUUAAUCUGAAGCACCGGCGGGAAUCAACGCUUCCGAAGCUCUCUCAUCAUCAUCUCCUAACUCUGAGGAUAGAGAUUCCAUCUGAUAUCUAGACAUGGAUACUGCUCUUCAUGGUUUGAAAACGUGCAACUCUACAUUCAAAUGGAGCUCUGUGAUUAUAGUUUAUCCAUUGGCAGGUAUUCUCACCCAUUCUCUGAGGUAAAUGCACUGAGAGCCUUUGUAUCAGGCUAUGGUGGAUCUCGAACUGGCACGACGUCCUUCGGCAAGGGAAAUUCUUGAGACUCCCAUAUUAGAAAAGGUCAGAGAUCAUACCAAAUCUUAGGACAAUGUCAACCAUGGUAUCAUCUUAUUGUGUUCUCUUUUUCUCAGAUGUGCUUUGUUUGUACAAUUCCUUAAUAUCAGCAUGCUAUUUUGUUA